rnacentral:ncRNA from 1 species
AUCAGAGUAGGAAAUAAAGCGUUAAGUGCUGGGAGGAUGGGAUGUUGCCACCUGGACGAAGGAUAAGGGAACUUAUUCGCGGUUUUAUUUUCGCAUUCGCUGCA